UGAGGAAUAUUGCACAAUGGGGGAAACCCUGAUGCAGCAACGCCGCGUGGAGGAUGAAGGCUUCGGUUGUAAACUCCUUUUCUGGGGGAAGAGACAAGGACGGUACCCCAGGAAUAAGUCACGGCUAACUACGUGCCAGCAGCCGCGGUAAUACGUAGGUGGCGAGCGUUAUCCGGAAUUACUGGGCGUAAAGCGCACGCAGGCGGUUAAACAAGUUCGGCGUGAAAGCUCCCGGCUUAACUGGGAGAGGUCGUUGAAAACUGUUUAGCUUGAGGUAGUGAGAGGGGUACGGAAUUCCAGGUGUAGUGGUGGAAUGCGUAGAUAUCUGGAGGAACACCAGUGGCGAAAGCGAUACCCUGGCAUUGACCUGACGCUCAUGUGCGAAAGCGUGGGGAGCGAACGGGAUUAGAUACCCCGGUAGUCCACGCUGUAAACGAUGAAUACUAGGUGUGGGUGGUGUCAAACCCAUUCGUACCGAAGCAAACGCGAUAAGUAUUCCGCCUGGGGAGUACGGCCGCAAGGCUGAAACUUCAAAGGAAAUGACGGGAAGGGCGAAUCGCGCCGCCUUCCCU
rnacentral:rRNA from 1 species